rnacentral:rRNA from 1 species
ACUCCUACGGGAGGCAGCAGUGGGGAAUAUUGCACAAUGGGGGAAACCCUGAUGCAGCCAUGCCGCGUGUGUGAAGAAGGCCUUCGGGUUGUAAAGCACUUUCAGUAGGGAGGAAGGUAGUGUAGUUAACACCUGCAUUAUUUGUACGUUACCUACAGAAGAAGCACCGGCUAACUCCGUGCCAGCAGCCGCGGUAAUACGGAGGGUGCGAGCGUUAAUCGGAAUUACUGGGCGUAAAGCGCAUGCAGGCGGCCUGUUAAGUCAGAUGUGAAACGCCCGGGGCUUAACCUCGGAAUUGCAUUUGAAACUGGCAGGCUAGAGUCUUGUAGAGGGGUUAGAAUUUCAGGUGUAGCGGUGAAAUGCGUAGAGAUCUGAAGG